AAAAUAACUCUGAACCGGCCCUGAUGGCCUAGUGGUUAAAUUUCAGCUCUCUCACCGCUUCGGCAGCCCACAUUCAUUUCCCGGU